CGGAGAGUAACCUUAAGGAUUUGUUGCGGAGUUAUAAUUGUGAGUCCUUGUUGCACUCGGAGUAAAAUUGGGGAUCGACAUCGGAGUAAUUCUAGACGAUGUCUAUAACAUACAUUGGGCCAACCCUCCUUUUCAAAUUGGUGUACUCUACCGACCACUGGUCAACCUAAAUAGAAGGAAUGUUUUGCUGACGUCAGAGUUGAUGUGAAGAGUUCAUAAUAUAAUAUUGUUUAGUCACCGUUUUAAUAUGACUAGCAAUGGAGUCCCGCAAUAAAACUUGAUUGGUGCGGUUGCUAUUUGCGUGAAUUUAUAUAUUAAUAUAUGAUUAUGCUUCGAGCUACGCCUGCUUAUCUAUCCAUAAAGAUGUCAACAAAUAAAAGUUCCAUUUUAUGACUCCAGGGAUUCAUAGUGUAUCAGUGUGAUUCAAUCAUCAACUCCUAAACAGUUACAUAACCAACAAAACAGUCAUCAUUUCAUGAAAUAUAUUGAAAAACGCUAAGAAGCAGUUUCUUGCUUUUACAUUUAUAAAGAUUUAUUUGGUAUACCCCUUUGUAUAUAUGAUCGUGAGCGGACAAUUGGACAAAAACAUUUGUACCGAAUGUACAUUUUGCCGAAUGACAAUUUGCCGAACGGACAUUUCGCCGAAGGAUUAUUUGGGGCAUUUGGCCGGAACAUAAUAUUUAAUAAAUACUAUAUUGAUAUAUGGGAUUGCAUAUUUUAAUUUAAUUAAAAAAGAUUGUAUGA
rnacentral:lncRNA from 1 species